UACAGAGGUCUCAAGCGUUGUUCGGAUUCAUUGGGCGUAAAGGGCGCGUAGGCUGCGGGGUAAGUCGGGUGUGAAAUCUCAGAGCUCAACUCUGAAACUGCACUCGAUACUGCUUUGCUUGAGGACUGGAGAGGAGAUUGGAAUUCACGGUGUAGCAGUGAAAUGCGUAGAUAUCGUGAGGAAGACCAGUGGCGAAGGCGGGUCUCUGGGCAUCUCCUGACGCUGAGGCGCGAAAGCGUGGGGAGCAAACGGG
rnacentral:rRNA from 1 species